GAAACGGGAACGCCCAUCCCUGCUGUGGCCUUACACAGCAUUGCUCCAUCCUGUAAGAGAAGAACAACUCUGAGGUGACGUGGCUGAUGCCCGGGUUCUGGGCCACUUUGGCACCCAGCGACACGUCACUUCCUGUUAGAACAUUAAGAGCCCCAGCAGGAAGUCCUGCACUCAUAAAAAGCUGAGCCAACAGGAGCAAUGGAGGGGCAGUGCUCAGGCCAGGGACAACGAUGACAGAGUUGCCUAGGAGGAGGCAGGAUCCAAUAUUUUAUCCUUAAUUUACAAGGGAACUUUUUCAGUGUCUGUCUCAUUAAUACAGUGUUUCUUACCUAUGGCCAGUGCUGGCAGGACUUUGAACAUAAGGGAAUAGAGGGAGCAGUCAUCAGAGACGACUACUGCCACCACACCUGGAAAAGAAGGAAAAGCAAACAAAAUUAGAUU